AUGUACAUCGGAAAGAACUCCUCCAGGAACCCUGAGAAAGCCCUGCAAAGGGUAAAGGAAAGAGGCGUAGCAAGGGCGCAGCACAGCAGCACACGUGUCACAAGACAGCGCUCUGGUCCUCCAACUAACAACCGAGCUUUUAUCCUGACAGAGGUUUACAUUUCCAAAGCGCUACAGAACUCAGAACUGGGAACCAGGCCCUUGUUCCUCACCAUCCCAUCACGCCUCCAGGGCUGCAAUGGGAAGGAGCUCAGUGGGCGCUGCAGAGCCGAUUCCCCCUCCCCAGCCGCGAUCCCGGGGGCGGGCAGGGGGCGCAUCCCUCCCCUCGCUGGCUGGCAGCGGCACCGGGAGCCCGGCACACACAGCGCUCUCAGAGCAGGAUUGUUCCGUCAGAUCACGCCUUCUCCCAACCUCUUCAUGCACAACUGCGUGUGCUUCUCCUCAAAGAAUGUACUUGUUAACCACAAGGCUCUUCUCCCUUCAAGAUUUGCACAGAUAAGAUUUUUUAAAUUCAUCUCCUGCAAACAGAUACAACUUCCCUGCACAUUUGAGCAGCUACCUUGGGAAUGGAAGAAGAACCAUUUGUCCCAAGAAAUUCAGUGAUGACAGCGCAGCGGUCAUUUUAAAAACUGAAAUGAGCCUCUUUGGCAGGUCUGCUAGAGAAGGAGACUUGAAAACUACAGGAAGGCUCACCUCACUCAUCCCCCAGCUGGUGAAACUGCCAUGAAAGCAUCCAUCACACAGCUCAUGCACACCACCUCCUCCUCAGCCACCCUGCCCCAUCAAUCCAAGCUCCAAAACCUUUGGAACAAAGACUUUCUGCUACAGCAUCUGUGCAGCAGCUCCAGAAGGAAGCCCUGCAUCCAGCAGGCCUACAAGGCACUGCUGCAGCAGCCAUAAAUAAUAGACCAUGUUUUCCAUUUUCAAGCAACUUCCACCCCUAAGGAGCAGCCCGGCACUGUCGCCCGCAUCCAUGCCAAAAAGGAGGAGAAUGUUAUGCAAACAACUUACGUCAUGGCAGAGAAGUAAGUGCCUGGACUCCAUUCACUCUUGCAUCACCAAGAGUUCCCAAGCCUCUCCCAGAUAAGCCAACCUCCAGGCGGAGCCCUUGGAUGGGCUGUUCCCUGCCAAGCCAUCCAGAACAACGCCCACAGGUUGCCCCACAUCAUUAAAGGUAAGCACUUCUCCUGUGAGGCCCCAGCAUGAGCACCUGACUGAAUUUAUACAAUCAGAAACAAUUCACAUAGAGCGAAUUUGUGCUGGGAAAUGUACUUGUUUCAACUGUAAAGCAAGACGCAAGUGUUGUAACAUUAACCAACGUAAUUAGGGUUUCCAUGAAAGUGAAACCACCUUGUUCAAAGUAAAGCACUUCAAACUGCUUUAUUUUAUGUUAGUGAUAUGCACUUACUUAAUGUGUUGGGCUAUAGGUUUUUCUGCUUCUUCAUUAUGGAUAUAAAAACUCUACACACUGAGACAUUUAGUCAAUUAGAUUGGGAGAUAACAGUAUGCCUGAAAUAUGUCAAGAUCAGGUUUAUAAUAGUUUUAAUGCACCUAAGAUAGGUCUAAAGCUGCUACAAUGGUGCUGGUAUUAACAUAAAACUGAAGAACACUAUGAAUCCUCAUCUAUUAAAGAAAAAUCAUUAAACUCACAUCUUAGGACUCCUGCAUUCCAAUCUUGUUUUCCAUUUAAUAUUUGCACAUUAAGAUGUCCAAUAAUACGUGCACAUUAAGAUGUCCAAGUAGACUCUUAUUUGUUAAAGAGCUUGUUUUUAGUUGGUAUCAGCCUCCAGUUUUUUUAACCAGUUUUCCAGCUGUCAACUGCCUCCAAGGUUUACACUUGAUUAAUGCUGGUAAUUUCCAAGCGUGCUUUCAGCUCCAAACCAGGCAAGUGCCCAGGGCAUUCCAGGAGCACAGCACAGUGCUGCCAGCGCUGGGGAGGGACAAGGGCACCCAGCUGCCCCACCACGCCUGGCAGCAGCAGCAGUCCUGGUCUGCUGCAGGACAGCGAGGCCUUCCUGGCCAUUCCAGCCUCUGGGAUCAAUCUGCAGGUGGAUCAUGCCACCAGCUCAUAAAUUCCCACACUGCUAUAUAAACUCAGGCCCAUUGUACUGUAGCUGAGGACUAAGAUGAAUUUCAGGCUGCAUUCAAGCUGUACCCUAGUACCAGCUCUGCUACUGAUAAAUCACAGCUUCCACCCAUUAGCUCCUCACUUCGUCAGCUUCUACUCUCAUAUUCUCACUCCCCGUGUUUGAUUUUUUUUUUAAAGUCUUCUUACUUGACUUUUACUGGCCUUAUGACUACUACCACAAAUACUACCCUUAAAGGGAUGAUUGUUUUCUUUUCGCCUAUUCCUUGGUGGGUCUUCAGAGAACACAAACAACAAAAUACAUCACCUUUGUCUAUUUCUAACCAGUGAAACAAAAAACACACACAAAAUAACCAAGCUAGAAAACUAGCAUUUUGUAAUCUCUUUCCUUGGAAUUACCAACUAGUGGACAACAAGACCUAAUACAUCUUAGUAAUGUAAUAACGUUUGGAGAAGUUUUUACUGAAAUACUUCAGCACUAUGUUUAUUCAGCUGUUCUCUUCUGUACUAGGUUAUCCAACCACGUUUAUCACUCCUCAACACUGCACUUUUUCAUUAACAGAAGAUUUAAAAAGAGUCUGCUGCUAAAACUUUAGAGCCACUAAACAGACAGGGAUUUAAAACGCCAUCUAACUUAGAACAUCACAGGCAUCCGUAGCAGCUAUGGCACCUUCAGCGCUGACUUCCUAAAUAAGUAUCUGUUCCUACGCUUGUUCCAAUAAACAGACGAGCAACCGACA
ensembl:lncRNA